GUGUGUGUGUGUGUGUGUGUCUGUGUGUGUCUCUGUAUGUAUGUGUCUGUACCAUACAGACACAUACAUACAGAGACACACAUACAUACAGAGACACACACAGACACAUACACA